UUGAAGGAGUACGCCAUGUAAGGUAGGAAAGAUCGUAAGUGUAGUUUAUUCAUCUGGACUUUCGAACUCGGAACCCAUGCUCAAGCUAGCGGUUAGCGUCUUCCAUUGUUUGGCCGCCGUGAGUCGAGCGAGCCAGCUGGGAGGAGCGGAAACGGAACUGCUGAAGCGUUCUGUCACUCACUUCUGAAUCUUCGGCGAAUGACCAAUGAGCAGGCGGCGUGCAAGCGAGGGGGCGGCUUUUUCUGCGUUGGUGCUGCCACAAAGGAGGACAAAAAUCAGACUGCAACGGACAGUCAAGGUUGCCGAAGAAAAUGGUCGGUACCCACCUACCCACUUGAAGACUUGCACGCUGCCAGGACUAAAACAAGGGCAUGCAAAAUUCUCUUGGACCCUCCACAUCCUGGUCACCACCUAUUCCAGCUCCUUCCCUCAGGUGGCACGGUGGACGACUGGUGGACCUGGGUUCAAAUCCGGCCUCCCCUGUGUGGAGUUUGCAUGUUCUCGCCGUGCAUGCAUGGGUUUUCUUCCCCCACAUCCCCAAGACAUGCAUGGUAGAUUCAUUGAAAAUCCAAAACUGUCCAUAGGUGUGGAUGUGAGUGUGACGCGAAUGCUUGUUUGUUUAUAUGCGCCCUGCGAUUGGCUGGCGACAAGUUCGCCCAAAGUCAGCUGGAAUAGGCUCCAGCACACUUUUUCCCCUCGUGAGACUAAGCGAUAGCGAAAAUAGAGACAUGGAUGGAUCGGCUAUGCAAAUUGAAACAUUGAGGUCUGGACCUUUGCCCUGACCCCUCAGAAUUUUGAUUCAGUGAAGACUUUAAAUUGCCCAUAGGUGUGAAUGUGACUUCAAAUGGUUGUUUGUUAACAGUGGGAACGGAAAGUAUUCAGACACCCUUAAAUUAUUCACUCUUUGUUAUAUUGUAGCUGACAUGCCACGCAAAAGAUGCCACCUGGCACCCCAGCCUCGCACUCCCGCCGAUGUAGACGAGACAGACUGGCGAGACGUAAUGUCACACGCAGACUCUAAUCGAAUCAACGCUAUAAACCAUCAAAAACAUGACACAGACAUUUGCUUUGACAUGCCGACGCUAAGUGAAUCACGACUGCCUGGCACAUCAAAGCGGAGAGCCAAGGAUGCCGAGUUUAGCCCCCAGACGCCAAGUUAAUUAACUCCCCGCCAGUCGAAGGAGCGCACCAACAAAGGCGCUUCCACUCUGUUGAGUACCACCACUUGGGAGUUGGAACAGGCAACAUCGACACCCACGGGCGACGGAACGACACUACAGACAUGGGUUCAUAAGACAGUCUGUGACUCGACUGGGAGUUAAUAUUUUAAGAACUUUACGUGAACACCACUAGUGACUGUAUUCCUGCAAAACUUGAAAAUAGUAAUGUUCUUCACACCACACAACAUUUGAAACAUUCAUUACAGGUAUGAAAGAGGAUGAGCGUGGAACAAUGCAGGGUGAGGAAAUGGUCCCGUUAUCUUAAAUCCAAUAAUUAAUUUUUUUUUUCCACUGGUUUUAAGCCACAAAAUAAUCCUAAAAUGGAAAAUGACGCCAAAAGGCAGUCCAGCCCCUCUGUGUUCGCGAAGAUGGUCAAAAAGGAGGGGGUGGGGUGGAAACCCCACCUUUUUGUCCCGCUCCGGCCAUAAAAGGGGCCGGAGCUGGGACCAGUGGAGAAGCUUUUGGGAGUUUUGGUGGAAAGGUUUUCCUUUGGUCUCACCCCGACCAACUCGCCGAGGUGACAAGGACGCAACGGAUUAUCCCCGGCUGCACAGCCUCCUGCAAGCGCUCCGAGCCACCCUGCUUGGGGGUCCGAGCUCAGUCUGAGGGAACGGACGUUUGGCAAACAGAGACACCCGUGAGACGUCCUGCCUGGGAACCCGUUGGCCUCCUGCUUUUCCUCUUUUCCUUCCUCCCUUCUGUCGAAUCCACCUGUUCCCGGUGUGGACCGGGGCGGCCGAACACUCGGGAGCCAGACUCGCCUGCUUCAAACGUGUCCCAGACACGCAACGUCCAACAUUGUGGCCUACUAAAAGUACAGAUUAGUGCAUAUUUGGGUUUAAAUUAACGAGAACAGGAGUCCUUAGCUAUCUGCAUUCACGACACGCCCAUUCUGCUAAUCUCACGUCACAAAUCCCUUCCUUCGCCAAUGUUCGUCUGUACCUUGUUUGUUUUGUGUUUUAUCCUGUAUUAAUACCCUUUUAUUAUAAAAUUUUAUAUGAAAUUCAACACUUGCAUCAUUGUUUUGUGUGACUGGGUUCGGAACGAAACCUCUGGAAAUUCUAGAACUCAAAGUUUCUAAAGUGUAGCCACCUUCCUUUCAGAGACUGAUGAAAAAGGUUUGUCACCUCAAGUUAAACUUGUCAUGAUAUGACAUGGUGCCCCUCAUAUAUAUCAAAUAUCUUGAUUUAUAACGCUGUAAUUUAACCUGGAAGUAACACAGGCGCCGCUUCCAACUCGUUUCCUUCUAAAUUAAGCACAAUUCUUAUUUCAUCCAUAAUCACUACACAGCCAUUUUCUAAAAUCAUUAAACUUCGUUUUUUUUCCUCAUUAAUGUACACACACCACCCCAUAUUGACAGAAAAAACUAUUUAUUGUUGAAAUUUUUGUAGAUUUAUUAAAAAAAGAAAAAGUGAAACAUCACACAGCCAUAAGUAUUUAGACCCUUUGCUGUGACACUCAUAUUUAACCCGGGUGCUGUCCAUUUCUUCUGAUCAUCCUUGUGAUGGUUCUACACCUUCAUUGGAGUCCAGCUGUGUUUGAUUAUACUGAUUGGACUUGAUUAGUAAAGCCACAAACCUGUCUAUAUAAGACCUUACAGCUCAGAGUGAAUGGCAGAGUAAAUGGGAAUUAUGAGGUCAAAUAUACUGCCUGAAGAGGUCAGAGACAGAAUGGUGCCAAGGCACAGAUCUGGCCAAGGUUACAAAGAAAUUUCUGCUAAACUUCAGGUUCCUAAGAGCACUGUGGCCUCCAUAAUCCUUAAAUGGAAAACGUUUGGGAUGACCAGAACCCUUCCUAGAGCUGGGCGUCCGGCCAAACUGAGCAAU